rnacentral:rRNA from 1 species
AUUGAACGCUGGCGGCAUGCUUUACACAUGCAAGUCGAACGGCAGCGCGGGGGCAACCCUGGCGGCGAGUGGCGAACGGGUGAGUAAUGUAUCGGAACGUAUCCUGUAAUGGGGGAUAACCAGUCGAAAGAUUGGGUAAUACCGCAUACGCACGAGAGUGGAAAGUAGGGGAUCGCAAGACCUUACGUUAUAGGAGCGGCCGAUAUCUGAUUAGCUAGUUGGUGGGGUAACGGCCUACCAAGGCGACGAUCAGUAGCCGACCUGAGAGGGUGAUCGGCCACAUUGGAACUGAGACACGGUCCAAACUCCUACGGGAGGCAGCAGUGGGGAAUAUUGCACAAUGGGCGAAAGCCUGAUGCAGCAACGCCGCGUGAGCGAAGAAGGCCUUUGGGUCGUAAAGCUCUGUCGGGUAGGAAGAUAAUGACGGUACUACCCGAGGAAGCCCCGGCUAACUACGUGCCAGCAGCCGCGGUAAGGAGUAGUACA